GAUGAAGAACGUAGCGAAGUGCGAUAAGUAAUGUGAAUUGCAGAAUUCCGUGAAUCAUCGAAUCUUUGAACGCAUAUUGCACCCUCUGGUAUUCCAGAGAGUAUGCCUGUUUGAGGGUCAGUUAAAUAAAAAUCGGGGUUGUUGCUGCCAUUCGUGGUGACAUUCCGGAAUUGGGUCGUCUUUACCCUUUGGUAUAAGUGACCUAAAAUUUUACGUGAUUUUCGAACGUAUUUAAAUAUAUUUACUUACGUUUGUAAUAUCAAAUAUUAGAUGUGAUCAUUUUCCAUGAUUCGCGUCCAUAAUUUUUCAUCUAAUGACCUCAAAUCAGGUAAGAGUACCCGCUGAACUUAAGCAUAUCAAUAAGCGGAGGA
rnacentral:misc_RNA from 1 species